UGGGGAAUAUUGCACAAUGGAGGGAACUCUGAUGCAGCGACGCCGCGUGAACGAAGAAGGCUUUCGAGUCGUAAAGUUCUUUUAUAUGGGAAGAUAAUGACGGUACCAUAAGAAAAAGCCCCGGCUAACUACGUGCCAGCAGCCGCGGUAAUACGUAGGGGGCUAGCGUUGUCCGGAUUCACUGGGCGUAAAGGGUUCGCAGGCGGAAAGGCAAGUCAGGUGUAAAAGGCAGUAGCUUAACUACUGUAAGCAUUUGAAACUGCAUAUCUUGAGAAGAGUAGAGGUAAGUGGAAUUUUUAGUGUAGCGGUGAUAUGCGUAGAUAUUAAAAAGAAUACCGGUGGCGAAGGCGGCUUACUGGGCUCAUUCUGACGCUGAGGAACGAAAGCGUGGGUAGCAAACAGG
rnacentral:rRNA from 1 species